AAACUUAAGAAAAUUAGAGAACGUGAAACAAGUAUUUGACCUUUUCACCAUGUUACUCUCCUCAUUUUCCUCCCAUCUUUUAUUCCUCACUUUCCACCCUUCAACAGUGUCACAUCUUUUGUUUUUCCCAACACAACACAACACAAUCAUUCGCAUAACCAAAUCCUUUCUCCACUGUCGGUGCAAUCACAUACAUGAUCCUGUUGCAACAUUCAUCUCUUUUACUUUACUCACCCAUCAAAAACCCUCACUAAAUUUAUCAACUUUUUUGCAACAUCUCAAAUGGGUUUGCCUUCAAAAUUCCAUUUUUGAACUUUUUUCAUGA